GGUGUCCUGGGGGCGGGGCCUCGGCAUAGGCUAUGUGACUGGGGGGCGCGGCUUCUGCGGGCUGAGCGGGGGAGGCGGGGCCUCGGCAGGCCGUUUCCUGGGGGGGCGGGGCCUCGGCAGGCCGCGCGCGGGGAGGCGGUGCUUCGACGAGCAGCGCGCGGACAGGGGGUCCGCGGCAGGCCGCGUGUCAGGGAGGCGGAGCCUCGCCAGGCCGUGUGCCUGGGGAGCUGGGCCUCGGCGGGCCUGUGCGGGGGGGCGGGGCCUCGGAGCCCGUGCGGGAGGCGGGCCUCGCCGGCCGUGUGCCAGGGACGGCUCGCAGGCGGCGGGGGGCGGGGCCUCGGCAGGCGGCCGGGGGCGGGCCUCGGCAGGGAGGCGGGGGCACACGGCUCACACCCAAUCCCAGGCACAGCCGAGUUCACAGUCCGCUGCCAUCUUGAAUCGCGGUGUUGCUCUUAGUUUCCUCAGGAACCGUUUUUUAACGGCUGGCGCAGCUGCUUCCCUAACUGGGGUCUGCAGUGCAGGCGUGGUGUCUCUGCACUGCGCCCUGCAAGCAACUGAAACCCGGCCAAGCACAAAGGAAAAGAAAAGCUCCCUCCCAUCAUCAACUCAAGACCUAAGAUACCUGAAAAGCAUCUCUUCUCUCCUCCUUUUUCUUCCUCUGGCUGGUCCUGACCAGAGGGCCCUAGUGAGAGCGGCUCCUGAUAAUGUCAGGAUCUUCUUCGGAACCUGCAGCAUAAUUCAUUUUCCCCGGAAUGGAUGUGGAGCCUCCCCGUGCUUCCAAAUUGGGCUGCACCAACUCUGAGACUUCUGUGUUCCAUUUUCUCAACGCUCCAAUGAAUUGUCAAGACAAAGCUUUGUGUCAAGAUAGAGAAGCAUCUUUUCCCAGGCCUGCAUUUCUGGCUGGGAAACAGGAGCCCAAAUCCUAAAUGUGUCUAUUUGGUCAGCUUACAGUCCAAACAGCGAUUUUGGAAAUGCGGAGUUUGCAGAGCCUGAUGCCUCUCCUGCAGUUUAAAUCUGCACAGUUGUCACCAGUUACAGACUAUGGCAGAUGGCUUGCAGUGUGUAGAGGAGGACGAUGGACAAGGAAUCAAAGAGAGAAAAGAGCAGCGCAUGUCCUGGUUCAGCUCCUCCAAGUUGCCAUUAAAAGUGCAUAAUUUCACCAGACUCUAGCCUCAAAAUCCAUGGUCAAUUAAAAGCUGUCUCCGG
rnacentral:lncRNA from 9 species